rnacentral:hammerhead_ribozyme from 1 species
AUCCAGCUGAUGAGUCCCAUAUAGGACGAAACGUGCAUCCUGGAU